rnacentral:sRNA from 1 species
CUCGUAUUCAAUUUGACUACAUGCAUGGUAAUUUCGUCGCCAACGAUUAAAUUGCAAUAUCAAACUAAGUCUUAGACUUUUUGGCAAAACCUUAAAACGUUAACCCUCAUAUUCCUCUUGAAAAAUAGUUUUUUAUCUAGUUUAAUAGCCUUAACUUUAAUUGUUGACAGUUUGAGGGUAUUCGGAAGUAUAACUCUUUUUUUCUCCUAAAUUUCAGUUGUGGUCUUGUUAGCUUGUGUAGGCCGAGACCAUCUCAUUGGAGCCUAAAUAUGACAAACACAGUCUAAUAAGGAUCUCUAGAAGCAGCAAAGUAUAGACACUAACAUAGUUCAAGAUUCACAUUUUACAAAUUUAUUGAUUAUCUUAAAGAAGGUGUAUGCCAUCACAUAAAGAAUGAACCGAUAAUUCGGAAUAACCUGAACACUUUCACGAAAGAAAUAAAGUAGAGUGUGAAGGAAUAUUAUUUGGAGAAGUAGUAACACCAUUUGUAGACAAUGCAGACAGUUACAUUUAUAACAAAAAAAUUUGGCACUUCACGUUGCUUAUAUUUUGUCUCUUUAUUGGCUUUCUCUCUAAGAAAAUUUUAGAAUUGGUAAUUUUCGUGUUAAUUUUGGUUACGCUGUUUUUUUUAACAAGGCCAUAUAUGUGCUUUAUAUUCUUUUUACCUUUUCAUUUUCGUUAUGAAUUGUUUUAAGAGUGUGUUUGAGAUAUAGUACGUUUAUCAAACAUAAUUAGUAAUGUAGUACAUUUACUAUUCAAAAUGAGUGAAAAGUCAUUUUUUCCUGAAAUAGAGAUAGAGUUUGUGUGAGAUAGAAAAUAUAGUGGGGUAAGGAAGGGAGGGUGGAAAUUACGGUUGAAAGUUUGACUGUGUUUAAAAGAAAAAUGUGGUGGGUAAGAAAGAGAAAUGUGGGUCAUGUUUUUUUCUAAUUUUUUUAUUUUAUUUACUACUUCAUUUUUUUUUUUGUCUCAUAACUAAAAUGCUCUUUAAUGAAUAUUGUUUUUCAAAAAUUUAUCAGAUACAUAAAAAUAUAUGUUUUUUUCUCUAUCAUUUGAUAUGCAAUUUGUAUAAUAUUUUUU